rnacentral:lncRNA from 1 species
GAGUCUGGUUCUGCUCGAGGUUUCUGCCUUAAAAGAGGACAUUGCUAAGUGCUUGUUCAUGUUCGACUCCUGUUUGGAUCUUUGUAAAAAUAAAAGAACACAGUCCAGACCUGCUCGUUUUGUAAAAUGUCCAGAGAUCAUUUUUAUUAGAAUUUGGUGCUUCAUGAAUUGAUUGAUGAGCCUGAGUUUGGCAGGAUCAUUGAGAGCACAUUCAUCAUUCAUUAGGCUGCAGACUGGAACAGAGAAAGAAGGAGAGGACAGAAUAAAUGAGGGCUGAAUGGAGCCAGGAGACACAGCCGUACAUGUUGACCUGUGGUGCUAACAUCAGUGACCCACACUUUUGACUGACUCACUGUUCUUCAACCACUGUCUCCCUUUUGCCAUCUCCAGAUCACGGCCUGCUGCCUGUGAGCGACGCUCCUCCCUGAAGCUCCUUUCUUCCACCUGACUCACAGAUCCUAAAGGAAACUUUCACGUUCACUGAGCAGGAUGGACAUCGGACAGUCUGCUAAGGAGUCCUGAACCCCUCCUCCAAGUAAGUCAAACCACGGUCAGCGCUGUGCAUGACACCACGGGGCAGCCCUGCAGGCCGCCCUGACCCCAACUCUUUUAUUGUACAGAAGUGAGCAAGAGGUCGUGACACAGCCGAUGGUCACAGAAGUUUAAAGUCUUCCAGGGUUGAAAAAAAGCAGCUUGUCCUUUUCCUGACACUUGAAAGAUCUGAGGAUGUGACUCCGCUGGGAAACAGGACAGUGAAGUCUUUCAGUGUCUGCGCUGAUUUUAUCUGGCUUGAGAGUUAAGAGUUAAGCUCUGAGGUUAAAAAAUUUCUCAGUGACAUGUAAUACAAAAAGUGCCUCCAAAUGAUAGAUGUUCAGAUUUUCCUGCAGCUCAUUUGGAUUGUACUGUGUGUUGCUUUUCCGAGGUGCACUGCCAGGGGCAUGGGCGUAGGUUCAGUGUUUUUCCCUCCAAGAUCAGCAAGAUCUUUUUUCUUAAUUUGCUUUGGCUGCAUUUUAAAUCCUGCAUGUGUCCAUCAUUUAACUGGUAAAUGUCUGCUGUUGACCCUGAUGGUGGAAAUGAUUGCAGUCCAGUAAUCUGUCAAACUUGUUUCAGUAAAUCCAGUUAUUAAAGGCAAAAAAAUAAGAAGAGCAGAAGUUUGGCAAUACUUGCACAGUUGUUUGUGAACUUUAGAUUCCUAAUAAGCUCUCGGUUACAACACCACAAGUCUUGAUGCAAAAUGAAAGUGUAGCUUCUUCAACUUUUUGUUGCGUUUCACAUGUCAUUUUACUGAUGGGAUACUUAAAUGCUUUCAUUUUUCAUUCGCAACCUUUAAAAUUAUUAAAAUUUCCAUCUCAUUUGAUCAGUCAAAAACAAAAAAGAUGGGUGUAAAGAGCAAAUUUGGGACCUUUACUUUCAGCGUCGACAGCUCUGUCAAAACAGAUCAUGUGUAAUUCUUAUUCUAGCCUACAUUACAACAGCUACAAAUUCACAUCAGGGAAUUAAAGGGGAUGUUGAAGUGCCAAAAACUGCUGUUCCCUAAGUGGCCACUAGAGGCUCACUCUAUAAGUGAGUCAAUACCUAUAAGGCCCCCAUCCCACUAAGCCCCCAUUAGGCGUGAAAUAAAGGGUGUCAUUUCCAUAGCUUUGAAAAGUUGGCUGUGCAUCUGGCCAAGCAAUCCAUAAUGUCAAACUCAUUGUUUGAAAAAGGCAGUCUGGAGAAGUCAGCGGAUUCUCAAACGGAUCUCCAUGAAAUCUUGAAUAUCAAUUGCACUGGUAUAUGAGACACAGGCUUGUAUGGGAGUCUCUGUGAGGGGGGAAAGUCUUUGUUAUGAUUUCCAUUAUGUUUUGUUAAGGAAGUCCACAAUGUGCAGUUUUCUAGGCAGCCGUGUAGUUCUUUCUACCACCAUCUGUCUUGCAAUCCUGCUAGCCACCAUUGUAGUUGCCCCAAGGUAAUUUUGUUAAUGCUGCGCUCCAGUUGUGCCCGGAAUUCGGGAUUUCCGAGCGCCGAGUCGGAAAUUCAUCUGGAUGCCCUCCUGAAGUCGGAUUUCUGACUCGGAAAGUCAGACGAUCUUCGCCAACCCCGACUUAACGACAGUGUCAUAAUUCAAGAUGGCAGUGCUGUGCAUCAACAGUAAAGAGUGACAGUAAAAGCUCUCGUAAUUUAUCAUUUAUUAGCACUUCUGUUUUGUUUUUGUGAUGUUAAAUAAGUGGUUUUCGUUGUGCUGCCAAAGGUCUAACUGUGAACACGGUGCUAUGGUGUUUGCAGGGUAAAAUACUGUGUUCUGCAUUGUUAAAAACUGGUAUAGCUAACAACAACUGACAACGGCCAACGACAGCUGAGAAUUGAAAAAAAAACAGCUAACAACGGGUAACUGUAGGCGUCCAUCUUGGUUUUCCGACUUGUUAACUCUAACGCUGUCAACUUGGGUGUAACGUCAUUCCUAGUUCCGACAUCCGACUUCCGAGGUAAAGAGAUACAAAUCUUCAGCCAACAUCGAGACUCACGCCACCCUCCUCUGUUUGAUAUUUACCGACUUUAACUGAGAAGUAUUUAUUAUCAAACCAGAUCUUCACAUGGUUUAUUUACUUUAUAGCAAACCACCAUUUUUUUAAAGACAUGAUUAUGACCUAAUGAGGGAGAGAGGCUGUUAAAAAGUGGCUGCUUGACCGGCUCAACUCAUUGUGCAUCAAACAUGCCCAAUCUAAUAUUGCCUUCAUUACAUUUUAUAUUGGCGUGUUGGACACAGCUCAUUUAUUACACGAUAAAAAAGUAUUAAAAGUGUGUCUGGGACACUGACUUUUAUAGUUUAUUUCACCCUCUGAUAAAAGUCUGUUUGCUGUUUCUUGCAACUAAUCCUGUAGUUAGUGAAAGAGUUAAUCUUUGGUUAAAACAGAGGAACUGGCCUGAACAGCAGUCAGCUAAAUAUAAUCUGCAGUCACACUGAAACUAAAAGUAAAGUUCUUUGGUAUUAUUUACAAGAUCACUCCCAUAAUACCAAGGAACUUCUCUGUUUUUGUUUUUCUUUUGAAACAAGGCGGAGUUUCACUAUUUCAUCUUCAUUUUUACAGCAGACCUCAGAGAUGCAUUUAUAUUCAUGCAGAUGUAUGAUAAACACCGCUGCACUCUGUCAAUGAAGCAGUAAGGCUGAUAAACUUUAACCUCAGAGAAACUGGCACUUAGAGGUUAAAGCAGUGAGUGAAUUCAGCAGGCUGAGUGUCAAGAGAUCAACAUCAUCUAGAGCGGAGAAGAGGAAAACACCAUCAUGUGAUGUUGACGAGGAUGAUAAUGAUGGUGAUGUAAAGCAUGAUGGAUCCCUCUAUUAAUAGACCUGGCAAUAAAGUGACCACAGUCACAAAGCAGAACAGCAGCGCUAUGGAUGAGAGGCCCCAUUAUGUCCAAACGAAGGAGUCAGCCGCAAACAAACCUCAUCUGACUGAGCCUGUCUUUCUCUGUCCCCUUGCUCGGCCGCUCUCCCUGCACUCACCCCGGCUCUUUUUCUGCUGAGUGGGUGUUUGGAGGAGUUGUGAAGGUCAGGGGAAAAGUCUCUGGAGCUCGGGGCUUUGACCUCUGAUUGGCCCUGGCUGCUCUGAGUCACGGAGACGGAGAUGGAGCGCCAACCAAAAGGGCCCCGCGUUGUCCAAAAGCAGACGACGAGUAGGCUGCUACCCACCCAGCUUUGACAAAAGGAGAGUUGUGCAGAGGUGGUGAGACACAAUGGGACGGUUUGAGAGGAGAGAAAGGCUCAAUCCUCGCCAUAAGCACCUAACUGUGAGAGCCUGCCUUGUUUAGAGACAGAAUCUAUAGGGUAAAGAAAUUAAAGGGACUUUCCUCUAUGUUAAACUCUGCAACUUAGUAAAAAUUGAGUCACACUUAAAGCUACUGUGAGGAGUUUUUAGCUUGUUAUAAAACAAAGUGAAAGUGAUCAUGAUGGCCUACAAAAAAACCCCCAAACCAUCAAGAGGAGACUGAUUAUUUGAUACAAUGAUUGUAUCAGCCUUAAAGCCACGCUGCGGGGUAGGUGUCAGAAACGGCUGCAGAUACAGCCUUUUGUCAUUCGUAAUUUCCACACCAGAAAUUCAUCGUGAGUUGCAUCUUAGACAUUCAGGAGCUGUUGAAACAGAAAUGUAUUUUCAAAAGAAACGCGUGUAGUGUUCUGCAGUGAUGUUUCAUAGCAAGGCUGGACUGCCAACUCCAGACCUUGCAUGCAUACACCUGCUUUGAAGGUAUUUUUUCUGGUUUGUUUGCAUGUGUUGUCUUGUGUAAGUUGAGCACAUGCUGUAUUCAAUGAGUCACUUUUUUGGCUCAAGUCAUCAGCUAAUUUUUCCAUUUUUUAAUGACAUUUAGUAACCAGUGUAAAGGGACGCUACUGUAAAGUAAUGGUAUAACUGUUCAUCUAUUUUUUAGCCCAAUAUUAAUCAUUUAUUUUCUUUCCAUCGUCAAUACUUUAUUUUGCGAAAGCCCUAAUUCACAUUAAAUGACAGAUUUGACCCUCAAAAGUCAGCAAGACAAGAUGUUUCGCCAAAACUCAAGCAUAUAGAGGACAAGAUAAGCGAAGACUGCUUUGUCCACAGGGGGCGCCAAAAUCAGCACAAACAAAGUUUUUCAUGGGAGCUGUAAGCAAUUAUCUGCCAAUACUAAGAUCAAUGCUUUGCUGAUAAUGUUGCUUACGCUUCUUUGAAUAAGAAAGGUGAGGUUUUAAUCGAAGAAUCACGACUGAAUAAUCAAUUACAAGGUUUAGUUCACAGGGGGCGCCAAAAUCAAUGCAAACCUGAAGUUUCUCUCUUGUGCUUUAAAAAAAUGUUUGUUCAAAAAUACUUUUGAUCAGUCCCCCUGACAUAAAAUAAACCCCACAAAUUACUAAGAAAAGGUCUUCCAUAUUUUUAUCACAGGGUCAGACAAUAUCUCUCAAUAUAUUUUUGAGCAGAGAGGAAUUUUUCAGACAAUAGAGAACCAAAAAAAAAAAUCUGCUUUUCUCCUUCUUGUCUACUCCUUUCAUGUAGAUGCUCACAUUGUGGUCAAAAUAUUCACUCAUGCAUACUUGUCCCUAAGUGUAUACAUACGUGCUUGUCCACACACACGCACACACACUCAUACUUUGCUUAAUGUUACGGUAAACAGCUCUCUUCCACCCUGAGGGCCUUGCCUUUCCUAAACUCACCCAGGAACCGGAGCAGGUAACACUCAGUCAGUUUUGGCUCCAGUCCACCCCAUCCCGGCUGUUAAAACCGAGUCUGUUGCCAAGCAGCUUGUCCUGCCCUGGAACUCUUUGAAUGUUUGCCCAAAAAAUAUGCAUAACAAAGAAUCAACACUGAAUCCUGGAGCAGUUUUCGGGGCGUUGAGGGGGACUUGUGUAGAAAGAAAAGCAGAAGUCAAAGGAGGAAUUUUUGUUCUUGAAAACACAGAAGAACUCUAAAUCUAAACAGACUAAACAAAGAAAUCAGAUGAUGAGGAUGUGACUAAGAUACCGGCCACGUUUUUUUCUUUUUUUUUUUUCUGAAAAAAACCUGAUAAGUGAAGUGUUGAACUAAUCACCACAUGCCAUUGUUUGGAGCUGAAUCCUCCCCAAAUUCACAGCACUCCUGUUUAUCAUUAAUGUGGUGACUAAGACGGAUUGCUGAGGACAAAAACAAUAUCACAUACGAAUCUAUAACACAUCGUACAUCUGCCUUCACACAUUUGUCUCUCCCACUGGUUCGGGAGUGUUUUUGACGAACAUUUGGCAUGAUGGCACGGUGCCACCUCACGAGUGUUCCCGUAAACACUCACCACUCUGGACCCUAUACUGUCGAGCUGUGCCAAAAUGUCACUGAACCUGUGGUCAACCUCUACCGCAGCGCUGAAUAAAAGCAAAGCCCCAGCAGAGCGGAGCAACAGCAGAAACAGGCAGCUGCUCAGAGAAUAGAAUUUAUAAGGGAGGUGGCAAAGUGGAGGCAUAACACUGCCAGGAACUGUUGUUUUCCUUUGUUUAUUCAUAUUCCCAUGGAUACUGACAAAAAGGCAUAGAUUUAAAAUAGUCCAUCUAAAUGCCAGAGAAUUACCUGACAUGAGGCCAUUAUCAUCAGCCACGGAGACCCUAUAAAAGUGAUGUCAGGCCUCAGCCAACUUUCCAAGUCAUGUCAAGAGGAUUUGCAUUCACUUCUCUGUGACGUUGUAAAAACAUGUUGAGUAACUUCUGCCCUGACAGGAUUAUUCGCUUUAGGCCCAAACAUGAAAACACGGUCUGCUGGAGCAAAUAUCUCCAUAUGUGCAUUUUUCCGACCAGUACAUGUUGUUACAGAGUAUUUUGACUGUUGACUGCCACAGGGAAAGUGUGUUGAGAGCUUUACCUGACCCCCCCUCCCUAGCAAAAGCUGCUUACAUACUCAAUCAAAUUUGAGAACAGUGAAGGUUAAAUAACUAAAGGUGGGGCUGGACUAGUUUCAAGACAUCCAAAUAUGAUCGGGUUGUUUGAUUUGGCAGUUCGUUGAUUUUCAUUAUGCAAAUUCAGAGUGCGCCCUGUAAUAAUGACAGGGUCUACAUUUCCUUCAAAUUAUACCAUUCAAAAAUGAGCUAUUUUUAAAUUACAUCCCUGUAUUUGUGUCAAAGAGAAUAGGAAGGCUAAGUAUGUUCGCAAAUAGGCGUGACGCUAAUCUUUCCUGAAUUGUCAAUAAGUCUGUUGUCACCACAUGUUGCAGCUGACAAUGAAAACCUGUCACAAGUUUUUAGAGAGGUUAAAUCAUCAAGACAAAAGUAGUUUAUUAACUGAAUAACUAUUGUCAGUCAUAAAAGGGAGUGUAGAUAAAAGUAAGAUAAACAGUUGAGACUGAUAACCAAAGAAGGAAAAACACAUCAGAGUUGAAACAGUGAGCUAAAAGUUUGACAGUCAAAAUUAUCAUUAAGUAACUUUUGUUUGUAUAGACAUCACAAAGUGCUUUAUGUCAAAAAGUUAAGAUAAAUAACAAUACAAAUGAAUAAUAACUGAUAAAAAGUACAUGAGAUCAAGAUAAAAGUUAUACAAACCAGCACAGCUAUAACCAAGCACAGUAAAAAAAAAAGGUGAGGAUGGUCAAAACUGUAUAAACUAAAGUCAGUAUGUUUACACGUUGUCCAUAAAAGUUGAUUGAUUGUCUUACUCUGACUGAAACUUAACUUUGAAAAGAUGUAAAUACGUUACUCAGACUCAAGUUCGUUGUAGCUCAUUACAGGACAAUUACAAACAGGAGCUGACAUAGUUCACUGAAAAUAGAAGGGCUGGGAAUAGCUAAUAUCUGAAUAAUUGCUAUAAGUGGAAGUUUUACAGCUGAAAUUGUUAUUUUUAAGAAGUAGCUAAACCCCUGACACAAUUAGCUGAAAAACAGUUAAAGUAGAUAGCUUGUGGUAACUGCAGAUGGUAGAAAAUGACACAAAAUAUGAUGAAAAUAUGAUUAAAAGAUGAGGACUGACUGAGAGGCACCUGAACUUAACACCCCCAACAAGUAGCAGGACGAAUCAUCUAAAAAGCUUGAAUGAUUGCUCUUGUCAAUCACGUUUGUUAUUUCUCCAGCAGAACCUAUUUUAGAUAAAUCAGUGUAAAUGAAGAGACCCUGUAUCACCUAGAGGAGCUCGGUGGUACAUCAGAGAAGAGAAGGUAAGAAAUCCAUAUUGAUCCCCUGCCUGUUUAUUUUUAUUUUUCAGUCGUAUCAUGAGUACUGUUUUCUGGCCUUGCCUCCCCCACACAUCUACAUUUUUGAUGUGUUUCUCAGUAUAAACGACUGUUGAAUAUGAUCAUAGAUUCAAACCUCAGGUGCAGCCGGAGGAUUUACCGCCUGCCUCAGCAAAGCAUCUUACCUGACUCGUUUUUGUCUGUGCUUGGAUAUGGGAUACAUCGGUGGAGGCAUCUGUGUGUGUGGGCGUUGGAAGAAUUACAAACAGGAGACAAAGGUUUCCUUCUCCACUACUGGAACAGGUGCACUAUUGAGGAAUCACAUUUCCCUCUGUUCGAAACACAAAUCCUACAUGUAGAGCGAAAAUAGGUGAACUGUAAUUUUCAUAGAGAGGCCCCAGAGAUCAAAGGGUUGAUUACAUAAUAUUAAUGAAUUAUCCCGGAUCAGACUAUUAACUGGAACACAGUUUCAUGUAUUUCUUAUUUAUGAUCAAAGAGGGGCUGCCUCAGGGUUGGUGGUGUGUGACACUUUGGUGGUAAUUGGGGCAUUUCCAAACACUGAGAUUUUAACUUGAAUUAAAAAAGAUGAGUUCGAUCACUAUACCACAUCAGAAGUUUUAAACAAAAAAGUGAUUUUAAGGUAUAAAAUUUAUGUUCGGGGUAAGCAAGCUAGCUUUGUGGUAAGUUAACUAGAGGUUAGAUUACUUUGAAUUUAGACUCAGGUCAAUUUGAUCCCUACUGCCGACACCUACCCACUCUUACCAGUUUAGGCUUAACAAGGACAAUAAACAAAUGUCCAAUCUUGUUGCUAAUCUACUUGUUUGCUGUUGUACAUUAUGAAAUAGGCAAUAAUAUGGAUUUCAGUGUUUUUCAUAGAUAUCAAAAGACUUUUCGUAUGAGCUUUAAAAUUUAUUUUAACAUAAUUUAUUCAAUUUACUGCCUCCAACUAUAACAGGUUCCUAGUUUUGUGUAAAAUUGAAUUUGAGUAUAUGUUGUACCUUAAAUCUAGAUGUAGCUGAACCAUGUACAAAAUAAAUCUUAAAGCUCCUGUGAGAAACUUUUGAUGUGAUCUGUAUUGAUUAUGAACAUAGUCUUCACUGAUUCUAUCCUGUACAUGCGUGAACAGUUUUCUUUUUUACUAAAAAUUCAUCUUAACGUACUUUCAAUAGUCCGAUUUGUUUAUUUAGUAAUAACCUGUCCCAUGAAACAGAUUACUUGUUUUCUUACUCAGUCUGACCCCUACCCACCUGCCUGUUUAUUCGGGCAUUAAAAUUGUUUGUGUAGAAAUAGUCUCUAAAUUUACUUUUGUAGGUCAAGAAAUGACAUUAAUAUUCAUUUUAGCCUGUUACAUGACUGGCCCAAAUCUUCUUACAGAUCUAACAUUGUCAGACACCAGAUACUAGAUGCGUUUACAUUAUGGUACGCUUUUGUAAUUAUAAAAGAAUGAAAUUAUGAAAUAUUUCAUGUUGUUACAAAGUCAAGGAAGAAAUUUCAACACAGACUUCUUUGAUUAAAAUGAGUAAUUGCAUUUUUCUUACUACGUGAAGCACUAUGAAUUUGCUAUAAGUGCUCUCUUAGGUAUAUGUUUCAAUCAGUAAAGAAAACAAGUAUAAUCCACAUUAUCUGUGGGUUAUGAAGGAAAAUGUGAAACUUCCACAUUGCCUCCAGUUGUCCACAGACAUCCUCUCAUGUCUUCUCCUCCCUGCUGGGACAGAAAGUCCCUCACUAACUUGCUCAUGGUUGGAGUUUAGACAGGAGCAGGAUUGCUGCUGGAAUGAGGCCCGGUUUGGGCGUGGCUUUCCGGUUCUCCCGGAGAGGAACUUCGACGUCACGAUGCCCAUAUAAGGUCAGAUAA